AACACGUAUCCAACCUUCCCAUAACUCAGGGAUAGACUUUCGAAAGAAAAGAUUAAUACCUGAUAGUACUUUUUCUAAGGCAUCUUGAGAAAGUUAAAGAUUUAUUGGUUAUGGAUGGGAGUGCGUUCCAUUAGAUAGUUGGUGAGGAACGGCUCACCAAGUCUUCGAUGGAUAGGGGUUCUGAGAGGAAGGUCCCCCACAUUGGUACUGAGACACGGACCAAACUCCUACGGGAGGCAGCAGUGAGGAAUAUUGGUCAAUGGGCGAGAGCCUGAACCAGCCAAGUAGCGUGAAGGAAUGAAGGUCCUAUGGAUUGUAAACUUCUUUUAUAGUAGAAUAAAGUGAUCCACGUGUGGAUUUUUGUAUGUAUACUAUGAAUAAGGAUCGGCUAACUCCGUGCCAGCCGCCGC
rnacentral:rRNA from 1 species